rnacentral:rRNA from 1 species
UGAGGAAUAUUGGUCAAUGGGCGAGAGCCUGAACCAGCCAAGUAGCGUGAAGGAUGACUGCCCUAUGGGUUGUAAACUUCUUUUAUAAAGGAAUAAAGUCGGGUAUGGAUACCCGUUUGCACGUACUUUAUGAAUAAGGAUCGGCUAACUCCGUGCCAGCAGCCGCGGUAAUACGGAGGAUCCGAGCGUUAUCCGGAUUUAUUGGGUUUAAAGGGAGCGUAGAUGGAUGUUUAAGUCAGUUGUGAAAGUUUGCGGCUCAACCGUAAAAUUGCAGUUGAUACUGGAUAUCUUGAGUGCAGUUGAGGCAGGCGGAAUUCGUGGUGUAGCGGUGAAAUGCUUAGAUAUCACGAAGAACUCCGAUUGCGAAGGCAGCCUGCUAAGCUGCAACUGACAUUGAGGCUCGAAAGUGUGGGUAUCAAACAGGAUUAGAUACCCUGGUAGUCCACACGGUAAACGAUGAAUACUCGCUGUUUGCGAUAUACUGCAAGCGGCCAAGCGAAAGCGUUAAGUAUUCCACCUGGGGAGUACGCCGGCAACGGUGAAACUCAAAGGAAUUGACGGGGGCCCGCACAAGCGGAGGAACAUGUGGUUUAAUUCGAUGAUACGCGAGGAACCUUACCCGGGCUUAAAUUGCAGAUGAAUUACGGUGAAAGCCGUAAGCCGCAAGGCAUCUGUGAAGGUGCUGCAUGGUUGUCGUCAGCUCGUGCCGUGAGGUGUCGGCUUAAGUGCCAUAACGAGCGCAACCCUUAUCUUCAGUUACUAACAGGUCAUGCUGAGGACUCUGGAGAGACUGCCGUCGUAAGAUGUGAGGAAGGUGGGGAUGACGUCAAAUCAGCACGGCCCUUACGUCCGGGGCUACACACGUGUUACAAUGGGGGGUACAGAAGGCCGCUACCUGGUGACAGGAUGCUAAUCCCAAAAGCCUCUCUCAGUUCGGAUCGAAGUCUGCAACCCGACUUCGUGAAGCUGGAUUCGCUAGUAAUCGCGCAUCAGCCAUGGCGCGGUGAAUACGUUCCC